GAAAGGAAGCAGCGGCCAGAAGGUAGGAUUGGUGCCUCUGUU
rnacentral:SRP_RNA from 1 species